rnacentral:rRNA from 1 species
CAAUAGCGUAUAUUAAAGUUGUUGCGGUUAAAAAGCUCGUAGUUGGAUUUCUGUUGGGAACGACCGGUCCGCCCAUUGGGUGUGUAUCUGGCUUGUUCUCGGCAUCUUCUUGGUGAACGUUGCUGCACUUGACUGUGUGGAGCGCUACCCAGGACUUUUACUUUGAGGAAAUUAGAGUGUUUCAAGCAGGCAUAUGCCUUGAAUACAUUAGCAUGGAAUAAUAAGAUAGGACCUCGGUUCUAUUUUGUUGGUUUCUAGAGCUGAGGUAAUGAUUAAUAGGGAUAGUUGGGGGCAUUCGUAUUUAACUGUCAGAGGUGAAAUUCUUAGAUUGACGAAAGACAAACUGCUGCGAAAGCGUCUGCCAAGGAUGUUUUCAUUGA